rnacentral:rRNA from 12 species
AGCAGUUGGACAUGGGUUAGUCGAUCCUAAGAGAUAGGGGAACUCCGUUUUAACGCACGCCAUUCGUGGCGUCGCCUAUCGAAAGGGAAUCGGGUUAAUAUUCCCGAACCAGGACGAGGAUGUGGCGGCGACGCAACUGAACUGGGAGACACCGGCAGGAGCCCUGGAAAGAGUUCUCUUUUCUUUUUAACGCAUUAUGACCCUGGAAUCAGAUUAUCUGGAGAUAGGGAUUAAUAUGCGGUAAAGCACGAUACCUCUUGUCGUGUCCGGUGCGCUCCUGACGGUCCUUGAAAAUCCCGGGGAAUUGAUCAUUUUCUCCCCUGGUCGUACUCAUAACCGCAGCAGGUCUCCUAGGUUAACAGCCUCUAGUUGAUAGAACAAUGUAGGUAAGGGAAGUCGGCAAAAUAGAUCCGUAACUUCGGGAUAAGGAUUGGCUCUAUGGGUGUAGCCUUCCGGGCCUUUUCAGGAAGAUCGGACCGGCACCUCGGACUACUGGACCCGCAAGGGACCGGCGGACCUUGGAGCUGGACCGGUUGGAGGGGAUUGGCAUUGGCUCUCUGAGCCUACUUCGGGGGGCAAUUAAACACCGACAUAGAACUGGUACGGACAAGGGGAAUCCGACUGUUUAAUUAAA